rnacentral:rRNA from 1 species
GAUGAACGCUAGCGGCAGGCUUAAUACAUGCAAGUCGAGGGGCAGCACGGUUAGCAAUAACUGGUGGCGACCGGCGCACGGGUGCGUAACACGUAUACAAUCUACCUUAAACAGGGGGAUAGCCUUUCGAAAGAGAGAUUAAUACCCCGUAAUAAAUUGAACGGCAUCGUUUGAUUUUGAAAGCUCCGGCGGUUUGAGAUGAGUAUGCGUCUGAUUAGCUAGUUGGUGAGGUAACGGCUCACCAAGGCGACGAUCAGUAGGGGAUCUGAGAGGACUAACCCCCCACACUGGUACUGAGACACGGACCAGACUCCUACGGGAGGCAGCAGUAAGGAAUAUGGUCAAUGGAGGCAACUCUGAACCAGCCAUGCCGCGUGCAGGAUGACGGCCCUAUGGGUUGUAAACUGCUUUUAUACAAGAGAAAACCCUGGUACGUGUACCAGGUUGAUAGUAUUGUAAGAAUAAGCAUCGGCUAACUUCGUGCCAGCAGCCGCGGU